GGCAGCCAGCGCUCCUCCCCUAUUCCCGCUGCCUUCUGGGUAAUAGGGGAGUGCGAAACACGCUUGCUCCCUGCGCGCCAUCUUUACUAUUGGCAGAAAGUCCCGUUGCCAGGUUACCUGGGACCUUGCUGUGGAGGAGAGUGGUUGGCACCUGAGCUCCUACAGCCGCAGGACUCUAAGAAUCAUUUGUGAUUAUACAUUUACUUGGCUACCCUAUGUCCUUUCUAAUAUGUCUAUGAAGACUGUACAGCAGUCUGGCUGCCCUACUGAGGAGCCCUAUGAAGAGACACUGAGCCCCAGCCAAUGCUCCAAGACAUUCUAGAAACUGCAGCUGAGCCCUACAUAUGCAUGAUACCACCUUGGACAUUCCAACCCCAGCUGAGCUAUCAACUGAAUAGAGCCACAGGAAUAACCUCAUCGACAUUAUGUGGAACAAAAAUCUUCCCAGAUGAGCCUGGUUGUUUUAGGUUUGGGGAUGGCUUAUUAUACAGUAGUAGGUAACUGAAACAUACACAUAAACUUUUUUUUUUUUUGAGACAAUGUCUUACUAUGUAUUCCAGACGGGUUUAAAACACAUUAUGUAGUCCUGGCUGGCCUCUUAACAAUGUGCAAUCCUGCUUCAGUCUCCUGCGUGUAGAGAUUACAGGCAUGUAUCACCAUGCCCAGUGAUACACAUAAAUGCUUAUGACAUGCAAAACCAGCCUAAAGAGUAGCAGAUCAGAUUUGUGCCCCCACAGGAGAAGAGCUUGAAUGGGAGGAAAGAUUUGCCAGUCUCACAUUUAAAGCCAGAUCCCAGACUUACAGCCAGUUUUUCUGGAAGUUGGCUGCUGGAUCUUACAUUUCUGGAUGCUUGAAGAGGAAUUACUAAUAAAGAACAAAGCUUCAUAUAUGACAUAUUAUUUCUCAGUAUUUCCACUUUUCCUUCUCAUGUUUUGUAUAUUCCCCAAAGGGCUUCCAUGUCUCUGUGUCUAUCUGACAUAAGCCAGAAUCCUGGAACUAAAUUGUUUUUCCUUCCUUCCUUCCUUCCUUCCUUCCUUCCUUUUUUCUUUUUGAUCUUUUUGAGACAGUGUUUCCCUGUACAGUUCAUGCUGGCUUUGAAAUCAUGUUGUAGCCCAGGCUGGCCUCCUGCCUCAGCCUCCUAAGUGCUGGGAUUAUGAGCAUGUACCACCAUGCCUGGCCAGCAUGUCUCUUUAGAAUUUUUUUUUUAUGUGGUGAAAUGUAUCCUUACCACUUUAAUCAUUUUUAAAUGCAUAAUAGAAACAAUGUUAAAAGGUAGGCUAUUGUACAUCUCUCCCUAGGUCUGUGCUCAGCAGCGCUGGGUUGGUAGCUGGGCCAGCUUAUCCAUAAAGAUCCUCAGCAGGAUGCACAAGAACCCCUGCCCCUGUAUUGCUGCCUACAUAAUGUUUCAAGGAAAUUAGUUUUUUCUCUUCUUGUGCUGGGGAUUGAACUCAUGCAAGGCUCUGCACUGAGCUACACUCUCAACUCCCAAUUUUUUUUAAGAUCAGAAGCAAAAUAUAACUUUUAGGUUGAAGAAAAUGUUUUAAUAUAUAAUAAUAUGUUCAUCUUCAUGUCAUUGUACUUUAUGAUUUAUAUUUAAUAUAAAUAUAUACUGUUAAGAUAUCUUAUUUAUAAACAUAAAAUUUUAUACAUGUGUAUAUUUGUAUUAUAGAGGAAGAGUUCCCUAGAGCAAAAAUGCCUAAGAAUCAUGAAAGUCAUAACGUAACUCUGAUUGGCUACUUGAAAUUGACCAUGAUGGAAAUGUUUACAAAAAUCAGCAAAUGUUGCAAAUCAGGUCUUGAACUUUUGUUAACAAAUUUUCCUAUAAAAAGGCAAGUAAGUAGUUUAUAUAUAGUAGAUAGUUUAGACUUUGCUGCCCAUAUUAUUGUGUCACCACUGUAUCAGAACUCCCCUCCCCCAUCAGUGUACUUCAGUUUCUUAGUUGCUCAGGAACUAUAGUUCCUAUUCUGGUUCUGGUCGCUUUUAUCUCUUAGAAAUGGCUGGUCACUGAAAUGCAUAGCUUCAAUUGACAAGCCAUUCUGCUUCUGUACUUUCUGCUUGCUUAUCUCCUGUAAGCCCUACACCAUCAGAUGUCAAGAACUGAUAUUCUGGGAAUGAUCCUGAUCAGUGCCUGCCAAUGUAAAUAAAUCUGCCUCCAAA